rnacentral:rRNA from 1 species
UACGUAGGGUGCGAGCGUUAAUCGGAAUUACUGGGCGUAAAGAGUGCGUAGGCGGUUCUUGAAGUCCGCUGUGAAAGCCCCGGGCUUAACCUGGGAAUGGCAGUGGAAACUGGAGGACUUGAAUUGAGCAGAGGGGGGUGGAAUGCCGCGUGUAGCAGUGAAAUGCGUAGAGAUGCGGCGGAACACCGAUGGCGAAGGCAGCCCCCUGGGCUAAAUUGACGCUGAGGCACGAAAGCGUGGGGAGCAAACAGG